rnacentral:pre_miRNA from 1 species
AGUGCUAUGCUUUAGUUGGUUGACACUGGGCCAAAUUGUAUGCCUAUGGAUAGCAUUUGGUCCCCUUCAACCAGCUGUAGUUAGCAUUCUUG